GUGCCAGCAGCCGCGGUAAUACGUAGGUGGCGAGCGUUGUCCGGAUUUACUGGGCGUAAAGGGUGCGUAGGCGGAUAUUUAAGUGGGAUGUGAAAUCCACGGGCUUAACUUGGGGACUGCAUUUCAAACUGGAUAUCUGGAGUGCAGGAGAGGAAAGCGGAAUUCCUAGUGUAGCGGUGAAAUGCGUAGGGAUUAAGAAGAACACCAGUGGGGAAGGCGGUUUUCUGGACUGUAACUGACGCUGAGGCAUGAA
rnacentral:rRNA from 1 species